UUAAAACAUUGUUUCCAUUGUAGUCUUACUUGCAUAUGGUGUCAGGAAAGACAUCUUUGAAGGAAGAAACACAUAAACAUUGAGGAGAAUGAGUAAUUAUUACAAAAAAGUUUUAGUGGUCGCUAUGGUGACCAACGAGGACUGCGAUGAUGACCCGCGUACCCGCGUCGUCGAAGAUGUCUCUAGCAGAGCAUAGAUUGGCACGGCGGCUGGUUCAUUAAAGACAAAGUUUGCAAGGAAGGACGAGUGGGUGUUGGACGUCAACGUUAGGGCCUUCAGUGUUGGUUGCGUCUCCACCAGUGAUUGGGCGGCAGCUCUAGGUGGCAGCAGGGUGCGACUGUGACGGUGCCUCGCUCCUUAUUAGCACUGUGAAAGUUGAAUAACAUAGGAGAGAAGAAACCCUAGAUUUCUAAGCUGAUUUUGGCGUGGGCGAAGACGAUUGUUGAUUUCGCUUUUAUUUUAUUUUUAUGUUUUUUUUUCUUUGUUUGAUUAUUAGAUUAUUCCGGUGGAUGUAAUCUAUGAUAAUUCUAUCCUAUUUUGUGUUUUAUUUUUA